CGGGGUGAGUAAUGCUUGGGAAUCUAGCUUAUGGAGGGGGAUAACUACGGGAAACUGUAGCUAAUACCGCGUAGAAUCGAGAGAUGAAAGUGUGGGACCUUCGGGCCACAUGCCAUAGGAUGAGCCCAAGUGGGAUUAGGUAGUUGGUGAGGUAAAGGCUCACCAAGCCGACGAUCUCUAGCUGGUCUGAGAGGAUGACCAGCCACACUGGGACUGAGACACGGCCCAA
rnacentral:rRNA from 1 species